rnacentral:misc_RNA from 2 species
CAAACCCACUCAUAAAUAUUAUGGUAUUGAUGGAAGUGAACUGAGUCAAACAAUGUACUUGGGUCACCCCGUUGAAAUGCAUAGGCAGGACAAUAAACCUCUGCAAUGAACUUAGUAACUGUCUGAAAGACACAAACCAGUUCCUUGUUGGGUGCAGACCUUGCUUCCAUGGACCUCCAUCCAAGACGAAUUCUG